CGUGCCGCAGGAGAAGGACCUUUCGAGAAGACGACGUACACCUUCGGGCUCCAAGUGAUCCCUGAACGCCACGUCCAAGCUAAGCACCCGAUGCCGUCGCCACCUGCCUAUCUAGUAUAGCAGUACCCCUACUGAAUUGAAUCUUCGCUGUCGUCCCAUCUGCCCAAGAAACCGACCCUCUCCUUCUCGCGGACGCUGCCGGCCGCCGUCGGGUAAUUCGGGGGCUGAGGAGGCGAGGAGCCCGACCCGAGCUGUGCUGCGGAGUUCGGUUGGGCGUCGAGCGGAGUCGGCCCGUCGAUCGAUCCAAGGGAGGGGGGAAAAAAUGGGCAAGUCGUGGGCGCUCAUCAGUCAUCACCCACCUCCACACCGUCGCCGGGCCGUGCAUCACCCUUCUGUACCCACUGUACGCGUCGGUGUGCGCGCUGGAGAGCCCAACCAAGGUGGACGACGAGCAGUGGCUCUCCUACUGGAUCAUCUACUCCUUCAUCACCCUGCUCGAGAUGGUCGCCGAGCCCGUGCUCUACUGGAUACCCAUCUGGUACCCCGUGAAGCUGCUGUUCGUGGCGUGGCUGGUGCUGCCGCAGUUCAAGGGCGCCUCCUUCAUCUACGAGAAGCUCGUCAGGGACCAGCUCAGGAAGUACCGCGCCAGGCACCUCCGCAUGGGCGCCGCCGCCGCCGACGACCAGAAGGUGCACAUAGCAAAGACUGAACACGACCAUGAGCGGUGAAGCCGACGAGCGAGAGAUCCGGCAGAGACCAGCAAAGACUUCUCUCUAGAUGAUGCUGUUCAUGUGUCCUUUAGCCAUGUAUCUGAUCGAACUCUGAAUGUGUAUGUAGCCCCUGUAGUUGCACGAACUGCUUCUGCAGUAAGAACGAUGUAAGAUGUAAUGUUUCACGUAUCUCAUCAACUCGAGUGUUAAAUUGCCCUAAAAAAACUCGAGUGCUAAUAAAUUCCUUGGUGAGCAUUCCUUGUUUGAGCUCC